rnacentral:rRNA from 1 species
GACGAACGCUGGCGGCGUGCUUAACACAUGCAAGUCGAACGGAAAGGCCCUGCUUUUGUGGGGUGCUCGAGUGGCGAAGGGGUGAGUAACACGUGAGUAACCUGCCCUUGACUUUGGGAUAACUUCAGGAAACUGGGGCUAAUACCGGAUAGGAGCUCCUGCUGCAUGGUGGGGGUUGGAAAGUUUCGGCGGUUGGGGAUGGACUGGCGGCUUAUCAGCUUGUUGGUGGGGUAGUGGCUUACCAAGGCUUUGACGGGUAGCCGGCCUGAGAGGGUGACCGGCCACAUUGGGACUGAGAUACGGCCCAGACUCCUACGGGAGGCAGCAGUGGGGAAUAUUGCACAAUGGGCGGAAGCCUGAUGCAGCAACGCCGCGUGCGGGAUGACGGCCUUCGGGUUGUAAACCGCUUUCGCCUGUGACGAAGCGUGAGUGACGGUAAUGGGUAAAGAAGCACCGGCUAACUACGUG